rnacentral:sRNA from 1 species
ACUCAACACGAAUUCUUUAAAAAAGGGUGAGUUAAAGUUGUAAAAGCGGGCCGUCUUCGAGCGGAUUCUUGAUCAGCUUGUUAGCCCUAAACAUUUUUUAAGGAGUUU